rnacentral:rRNA from 1 species
UGGCGGACGGGUGAGUAACGCGUGGGUAACCUGCCUCAUACAGGGGGAUAACAGUUAGAAAUGACUGCUAAUACCGCAUAAGCGCACAAAACCGCAUGGUUUGGUGUGAAAAACUGAGGUGGUAUGAGAUGGACCCGCGUCUGAUUAGCUAGUUGGAGAGGUAACGGCUCACCAAGGCAACGAUCAGUAGCCGACCUGAGAGGGUGACCGGCCACAUUGGGACUGAGACACGGCCCAAACUCCUACGGAAGGCAGCAG